CCCAGGUUCAACCAAUUCUCCGGCCUCAGCCUCCCCUGCAGCUGGGAUUACAGGCAUCUGCCACCAUGCCCGGCUAAUUUUUUGUAUUUUUAAUUGAGACAGAGUUUCACCAUGUUGGCCAGGCUGGUCUUGAACCCCUGACCUCAAGUGAUCCGCCCGCCUCGGCCUCUGAAGGUGCUGGCAUUACAGGCGUGAGCCACCGCACCCAGCAGAUCACCAUGAUAAGGAUACAGAACAAUUCCAUCACUCCCUAAAAACUCCCUCCUGUUCUCCCUUCAUACUCACCUGGCCCUAGCUUCCGAAAACCACUAACCUGUUCUUUCUUCCUAUAGUUUUGUCUUUGAGAAUGUCAUGUGAACGGAGUCUGACAGCCUCUAAUCUUGAACACUGGCUUCUUUCAGUUAGCAUAAUGCCUUUCUGAUUUAUCCAAGUUGUUGCAGGUAUCAAUACUUCCCUUUCUGGCUGGGCACGGUGGCUCAUGCCUGUAAUUCCAGCACUUUUGGAGGUGAGUCAGGGGGGAUCACUUGAGGUCAGGA
rnacentral:lncRNA from 1 species